UAAGUUAUUAAGGGCGCACGGUGGAUGCCUUGGCACUAGAAGCCGAUGAAGGACGUUACUAACGACGAUAUGCUUUGGGGAGCUGUAAGUAAGCUUUGAUCCAGAGAUUUCCGAAUGGGGAAACCCAGCAUGAGUUAUGUCAUGUUAUCGAUAUGUGAAUACAUAGCAUAUCAGAAGGCACACCCGGAGAACUGAAACAUCUUAGUACCCGGAGGAAGAGAAAGAAAAUUCGAUUCCCUUAGUAGCGGCGAGCGAAACGGGAAGAGCCCAAACCAACAAGCUUGCUUGUUGGGGUUGUAGGACACUCUAUACGGAGUUACAAAGGACGACAUUAGACGAAUCAUCUGGAAAGAUGAAUCAAAGAAGGUAAUAAUCCUGUAGUCGAAAAUGUUGUCUCUCUUGAGUGGAUCCUGAGUACGACGGAGCACGUGAAAUUCCGUCGGAAUCUGGGAGGACCAUCUCCUAAGGCUAAAUACUCUCUAGUGACCGAUAGCGAACCAGUACCGUGAGGGAAAGGUGAAAAGCACCCCGGAAGGGGAGUGAAAUAGAACCUGAAACCGUGUGCUUACAAGUAGUCAGAGCCCGUUAAUGGGUGAUGGCGUGCCUUUUGUAGAAUGAACCGGCGAGUUACGAUUUGAUGCAAGGUUAAGCAGUAAAUGUGGAGCCGUAGCGAAAGCGAGUCUGAAUAGGGCGUUUAGUAUUUGGUCGUAGACCCGAAACCAGGUGAUCUACCCUUGGUCAGGUUGAAGUUCAGGUAACACUGAAUGGAGGACCGAACCGACUUACGUUGAAAAGUGAGCGGAUGAACUGAGGGUAGCGGAGAAAUUCCAAUCGAACCUGGAGAUAGCUGGUUCUCUCCGAAUAGCUUUAGGGCUAGCCUCAAGUGAUGAUUAUUGGAGGUAGAGCACUGUUUGGACGAGGGGCCCUCUCGGGUUACCCGAAUUCAGACAAACUCCGAAUGCCAAUUAAUUUAACUUGGGAGUCAGAACAUGGGUGAUAAGGUCCGUGUUCGAAAGGGAAACAGCCCAGACCACCAGCUAAGGUCCCAAAAUAUAUGUUAAGUGGAAAAGGAUGUGGCGUUGCCCAGACUAACUAGGAUGUUGGCUUAGAAGCAGCCAUCAUUUAAAGAGUGCGUAAUAGCUCACUAGUCGAGUGACACUGCGCCGAAAAUGUACCGGGGCUAAACAUAUUACCGAAGCUGUGGAUUGUCCUUUGGACAAUGGUAGGAGAGCGUUCUAAGGGCGUUGAAGCAUGAUCGUAAGGACAUGUGGAGCGCUUAGAAGUGAGAAUGCCGGUGUGAGUAGCGAAAGACGGGUGAGAAUCCCGUCCACCGAUUGACUAAGGUUUCCAGAGGAAGGCUCGUCCGCUCUGGGUUAGUCGGGUCCUAAGCUGAGGCCGACAGGCGUAGGCGAUGGAUAACAGGUUGAUAUUCCUGUACCACCUAUAAUCGUUUUAAUCGAUGGGGGGACGCAGUAGGAUAGGCGAAGCGUGCGAUUGGAUUGCACGUCUAAGCAGUAAGGCUGAGUAUUAGGCAAAUCCGGUACUCAUUAAGGCUGAGCUGUGAUGGGGAGAAGACAUUGUGUCUUCGAGUCGUUGAUUUCACACUGCCGAGAAAAGCCUCUAGAUAGAAAAUAGGUGCCCGUACCGCAAACCGACACAGGUAGUCAAGAUGAGAAUUCUAAGGUGAGCGAGCGAACUCUCGUUAAGGAACUCGGCAAAAUGACCCCGUAACUUCGGGAGAAGGGGUGCUCUUUAGGGUUAACGCCCAGAAGAGCCGCAGUGAAUAGGCCCAAGCGACUGUUUAUCAAAAACACAGGUCUCUGCUAAACCGUAAGGUGAUGUAUAGGGGCUGACGCCUGCCCGGUGCUGGAAGGUUAAGAGGAGUGGUUAGCUUCUGCGAAGCUACGAAUCGAAGCCCCAGUAAACGGCGGCCGUAACUAUAACGGUCCUAAGGUAGCGAAAUUCCUUGUCGGGUAAGUUCCGACCGCACGAAAGGCGUAACGAUUUGGGCACUGUCUCAACGAGAGACUCGGUGAAAUCAUAGUACCUGUGAAGAUGCAGGUUACCCGCGACAGGACGGAAAGACCCCGUGGAGCUUUACUGUAGCCUGAUAUUGAAAUUCGGCACAGCUUGUACAGGAUAGGUAGGAGCCUUUGAAACGUGAGCGCUAGCUUACGUGGAGGCGCUGGUGGGAUACUACCCUAGCUGUGUUGGCUUUCUAACCCGCACCACUUAUCGUGGUGGGAGACAGUGUCAGGCGGGCAGUUUGACUGGGGCGGUCGCCUCCUAAAAGGUAACGGAGGCGCUCAAAGGUUCCCUCAGAAUGGUUGGAAAUCAUUCAUAGAGUGUAAAGGCAUAAGGGAGCUUGACUGCGAGACCUACAAGUCGAGCAGGGUCGAAAGACGGACUUAGUGAUCCGGUGGUUCCGCAUGGAAGGGCCAUCGCUCAACGGAUAAAAGCUACCCCGGGGAUAACAGGCUUAUCUCCCCCAAGAGUUCACAUCGACGGGGAGGUUUGGCACCUCGAUGUCGGCUCAUCGCAUCCUGGGGCUGUAGUCGGUCCCAAGGGUUGGCUGUUCGCCCAUUAAAGCGGUACGCGAGCUGGGUUCAGAACGUCGUGAGACAGUUCGGUCCCUAUCCGUCGUGGGCGUAGGAAAUUUGAGAGAGCUGUCCUUAGUACGAGAGGACCGGGAUGGACAUACCUCUGGUGUACCAGUUGUCGUGCCAACGGCAUAGCUGGGUAGCUAUGUGUGGACGGGAUAAGUGCUGAAAGCAUCUAAGCAUGAAGCCCCCCUCAAGAUGAGAUUUCCCAACUUCGGUUAUAAGAUCCCUCAAAGAUGAUGAGGUUAAUAGGUUCGAGGUGGAAGCAUGGUGACAUGUGGAGCUGACGAAUACUAAUCGAUCGAAGACUUAAUCA
rnacentral:rRNA from 1 species